UACGUAGGUCGCAAGCGUUGUCCGGAUUUACUGGGCGUAAAGAGCGCGCAGGCGGCUGGUCAAGUCCGAUGUGAAAUCUCCCGGCUCAACUGGGAAACUGCAUCGGAAAUUGAUCGGCUUGAAGGUGGGAGAGGGUAGUGGAAUUCCCGGUGUAGUGGUGAAAUGCGUAGAUAUCGGGAGGAACACCAGUGGCGAAGGCGACUACCUGGCCCAUUCUUGACGCUGAGGCGCGAAAGCUAGGGGAGCGAACGGG
rnacentral:rRNA from 1 species